ACUCCUACGGGAGGCAGCAGUGGGGAAUAUUGGACAAUGGGCGAAAGCCUGAUCCAGCCAUGCCGCGUGUGUGAAGAAGGUCUUCGGAUUGUAAACCUCUUUCAGUAGGGACGAAGCGCAAGUGACGGUACCUACAGAAGAAGGACCGGCCAACUACGUGCCAGCAGCCGCGGUAAU
rnacentral:rRNA from 1 species